rnacentral:rRNA from 1 species
UACGUAGGGAGCGAGCGUUGUCCGGAUUCAUUGGGCGUAAAGAGCUCGUAGGCGGCUUGGUAAGUCGGAUGUGAAACCUCCAGGCUCAACCUGGAGUCGCCAUCCGAUACUGCCAUGGCUAGAGUCCGGUAGGGGCCCACGGAAUUCCUGGUGUAGCGGUGAAAUGCGCAGAUAUCAGGAGGAACACCGGUGGCGAAGGCGGGUCUCUGGGCCGUUACUGACGCUGAGGAGCGAAAGCGUGGGGAGCGAACAGG